rnacentral:lncRNA from 10 species
AAAAGUUCUGGAGCAAUGAGGCCCACAUGGGGAAUACCAGCCUAGUCUCGGAGAGUUAGAGAACUUCCCAGAAGGGAGGAAGCCGAAGGUGAUACUGAAGAACUGGAGGAUGCAGUCUUGCAGGUUAAUGCUUCCAAUUGAGCAACUUCAAAAUGGCUGUGAAUCCGAGGAGGACAGAGAAAGAUCUGCGUCUCUCCCAGCUUCCUCGGACUGUUCCGUAGGCACCGAGACGAACCGAAUGGAACCGGAGCGAUUGCAUAGGCGUCCAGCAAGAGGCUGAUGAGGACACCAAAUAAUGGAAACAGCCGAUUUUGUUGGGAUGGUGGAAUUUCUGGGAGAUGGCUCGUUCUUCUUUAGUUCUUUGUUUUUUAAAAUUUCUGUUAGUCUUCCAUUUUCAUCUGUG